GGACAGGUGGCCGAGUGGUCAAUGGCAACAGACUGUAAAUCUGUCCGCGUAAGCGUUCGCAGGUUCAAAUCCUGCCCUGUCCACCA
rnacentral:tRNA from 1 species